rnacentral:tRNA from 1 species
AGAUAAGUGGUACAGAAGUAAGAUUUGCAUCUAUGAUUAUCGCAAUGAAAUCAGCGGGUUACUGAGUGGCAGAUAGUAUCGAGGGUUCGAAUCCCUCCCUCACCGCCA